rnacentral:rRNA from 1 species
CAGCCGCCGCGGUAAUACGGAGGGAGCAAGCGUUAAUCGGAAUUACUGGGCGUAAAGCGCACGCAGGCGGUCUGACAAGUCAGAUGUGAAAUCCCCGGGCUUAACCUGGGAACUGCAUUUGAAACUGUCAGGCUGGAGUCUUGUAGAGGGGGGUGGAAUUCCAGGUGUAGCGGUGAAAUGCGUAGAGAUCUGGAGGAAUACCGGUGGCGAAGGCGGCCCCCUGGACAAAGACUGACGCUCAGGUGCGAAAGCGUGGGGAGCAAACAGGAUUAGAUACCCCAGUAGUCCCUGUCUCUUAUAC